ACCAUGGAGUNUAACAUGUCCNNGAGUCANUGGUAAACACUAAWCCCAGAGGCGCAAUGAAAGUGGGGCGGCCUCGUGCCGCCAUGGGAGGAUGGCUCUCCUCGCGAGAGCCCGCACUCCCGGGGCGCCCCGGCUUCGGCCGUGGGCGCACUCUGAGCGUACACGUUGGGACCCGAAAGAUGGUGAACUAUGCCUGGUCAGGACGAAGUCAGGGGAAACCCUGAUGGAGGUCCGCAGCGAUUCUGACGUGCAAAUCGAUCGUCAGAGCUGGGUAUAGGGGCGAAAGACUAAUCGAACCAUCUAGUAGCUGGUUCCCUCCGAAGUUUCCCUCAGGAUAGCUGGYGCCCGCUUGGAACGAGGCGAGUCUCAUCCGGUAAAGCGAAUGAUUAGAGGCCUURGGRMCGAAAYGWYCUYAACCUAUUCUCAAACUUUAAA
rnacentral:rRNA from 1 species